rnacentral:rRNA from 1 species
UAGGGAAUCUUCCACAAUGGACGCAAGUCUGAUGGAGCAACGCCGCGUGAGUGAAGAAGGUCCUCGGAUCGUAAAGCUCUGUUGUUGGUGAAGAAGGAUAGAGGCAGUAACUGGUCUUUAUUUGACGGUAAUCAACCAGAAAGUCACGGCUAACUACGUGCCAGCAGCCGCGGUAAUACGUAGGUGGCAAGCGUUGUCCGGAUUUAUUGGGCGUAAAGCGAGCGCAGGCGGAAUGAUAAGUCUGAUGUGAAAGCCCACGGCUCAACCGUGGAACUGCAUCGGAAACUGUCAUUCUUGAGUGCAGAAGAGGAGAGUGGAACUCCAUGUGUAGCGGUGGAAUGCGUAGAUAUAUGGAAGAACACCAGUGGCGAAGGCGGCUCUCUGGUCUGCAACUGACGCUGAGGCUCGAAAGCAUGGGUAGCGAACAGGAUUAGAUACCCUGGUAGUCCAUGCCGUAAACGAUGAGCGCUAGGUGUUGGGG